CCUCCUUCUACUUCUGAGUCAUAAUGUCACACCCAACAUAAUGGUUAAUAAACUGAAUAAAAGCCCUGGAUUUUUCCGGGUUUGUUCAACAGAGCAGAACUUCUGGCUACCACAUAGGCCACACGUUGAUUAUAUCUCUGUCUUUCACUUAUUUUCAAUAUGAAAACUUUGGCUUUGAUUCUGGGAGUGCUUGCUUUGAUGGGCAUACAGGUUUUUGGAGAAGAUUCUGUCUCUACAUCUGCCAUGCCAACGGUAUGCUGCACUCCCAAGACAUCACUAGCUCAAAGUAUCAUGACAACGGGAGCUACGACUCACAUGACAUCAGGAGGCCCAACUACCAAUAAACCAGCAGCUCCAACUACAAAGAAAAUAGAGACUUCAAAUACCAUGACAACAACAGCUCCAACUACCAUGAUAACGGUAGGUUCAACUACCAUGGCAACAGUAGCUCCAACUACCAAAACAACAGCAACUCCAACUACCAUGACACCAACAGCUCCAACUACCAUGAUAACAACAGCUCCAGCUACCGUGAUAACGGGGGGUCCAACAACCAUGACAACAGUAGCUCCAACUACCAAAACAACAGCAGCUCCGACUACCAUAACAACAGCAGCUCCAACUACCAAAACAACAGCAGCUCCAACUACCAAAACAACAGCAGCUCCAACCAACAAAACAACAGCAGCUCCAACUACCAAUACAACAGCAGCUCCAACUAACAAAACAACAGCAGCUCCAACUACUGUGACAACGAGACAUCCAACGACCAGCAGAGGCACAGCGGUCAAAGCGUCUCUGUUGGGCUCUUUGGCGCCACUGCUCUUCUGCACACUAUGCCGCUGAGGGAAAUAGCGCCCCCCUCUGGUGAUCAUGAAAUACAUUGGUGAAAUUCGUGAAGUAAUAAUGCUGGCGCUUCAGAAAACAAUGUUGUUUUGAAAUCACAAUGUUCCCCUUUAAUACAUGAUUCCUUGAAGUAAACAGAGUGAUUAGUUAUUAGAUGUAUUUCAAACAUUUAUCAUGAUUAUUAUUCUUAUUAGUUAUUUUGCACACCUGGACUCAUCACUAUUAAUGUUCAACAAAUGAUGGCAUAUUACACAUGUUUGAGUUGAGUGGUAACUUUCUCUAUUAAAAGGAUUGAAUACCUGGUGGCAGGUGCAGGCUGUGAUAGUCAUGGUAGCAAUACUAAUGCCUACAAAUUAUCUUUAUUUAUCUUACAUGUAGAUCAUGCAUUAAGAUAAUUGUUAUGAUCCAACAAUUUCAUUGCAUCACAAGGCAUCUGGAUGGGAAAUGAGAUAACAAUAAAAGUGCAUUUGUAGCAAUUAUUCAGAAACACAUUCAGCGAUCACAGAGUAUUGUUAUUUGUGAUAAGAAUUAUAAUCAAGUGAAUGGCAAAUAUUAAGUAGCCAAUGAGCCAUAAGAAUCUUUACUAUCUGACAACUAGUCCAAAAUGAUUGCUGACCAAUGCACUCAAAAUUAAAUAAAUUAAUAUAUUGUGAAAUUACAAAUGUAUAAAUAUAAUAAAUAAGUAUUGUUCACUAUAUUUCAUAAGCAUAUCAUAUUUAAUUUAAUAAUCUUGUAAUGGGCUGUGAGGUUGGACCAAAGAACAGCACAGACCGAGACCAGCGUUGGAACAAUACAUUUUUCCAAAAUGGUCUAUUUCAUAAAGCUUGAUUUUAUACUGUGAAAUGUGCAGAGCACCAAACCAUUAAAAAACGAAAAAAUAAUCUCAAGUACCCUGACCUUUGAGGUUAUUCAUUGAUAGUUAAUAGUUUGUUUGAAUCAAGACCAAAAAAGCACUCAAACCCUUCUGCUUAUCAAAUGUCAAAAAAAAUAAGGAAAAAGGUUGAGAUUUCAGUGGGCGUGGCUCAGAGACUAAGAACCUUAAGGCUGUGUAAAUGAAUAAAGAUUACAUCAAAUCAACAUGUUCGUUGACAGUGAGUUUGACUAAUAUUUUACCAGGCGAUGGACUUAAUUUGGCCAACCCAACUUUUUUAUCUUUCAUAAUGCAUAAAGUUGGCAAGCUAAUAUUUAGCCAGCUUGUUAGUUAUCUUUCUUCAACUACUCUUAAACUGAUCUUGAGUUGCGUGAGUCAGCCACAAAAGUUGUCAUAUCAGCAUGGUUACAUUAUCGAUUUGAGAGAAGUAGUUGUGGUAAAUGUUCCUUAGUAGACUGACAUUUUAUAUGGAGAGAGAUUAAGAGAACUUAAUCUGAAGGGCUGGCAAAGGGAUUGGCAUUGUAGCUCUAAUUUUGUCUCCAGGGAAUAUUUCAGGAGACAUGUCCUUGAAAUCACCUGUAACCAAAACACCCGUCACAAAGUGUCUGAUGCCCACAGGUUAUUGGGAAGAAUCUGCAAUGUCUUGGUGUUCAUGUCCCUGAUUCAGUGUUCUCAAUUUGGGGUACAUUGAAGGAUUGUAGGGGUACUUAAAAGAUGUUAAUAUUAUGUGUAUCCAAACUACUUACAUAUGUCAAUUCUGUUAUUCUUAUAGAAAUAUAUCCAUUUCAAAUUCAACCCAGACACGGCCUGUCUUACUGUAUGUUACACAUAUUACGGUUCCUAAAAUACAGAUUUAUGCAAG
ensembl:lncRNA